GACGAACGCUGGCGGUCUGCUUAACACAUGCAAGUCGAACGGAAUCCUUCGGGAUUUAGUGGCGGACGGGUGAGUAACGCGUGAGAAUCUGCCUUCAGGUUCGGGACAACAGCUGGAAACGGCUGCUAAUACCGGAUGUGCCGAGAGGUGAAAGCUUUAGUGCCUGAAGAUGAGCUCGCGUCUGAUUAGCUAGUAGGAGUGGUAAUGGCACCCCUAGGCGACGAUCAGUAGCUGGUCUGAGAGGAUGAUCAGCCACACUGGGACUGAGACACGGCCCAGACUCCUACGGGAGGCAGCAGUGGGGAAUUUUCCGCAAUGAGCGCAAGCCUGACGGAGCAAGACCGCGUGAGGGAAGAAGGUCUGUGGAUUGUAAACCUCUUUUGAUGGGGAAGAAGACAGUGACGGUACCCAUCGAAUCAGCCUCGGCUAACUCCGUGCCAGCCGCCGCCGUAA
rnacentral:rRNA from 1 species